UGGGGAAUUUUGGACAAUGGGGGAAACCCUGAUCCAGCCAUCCCGCGUGUGCGAUGAAGGCCUUCGGGUUGUAAAGCACUUUUGGCAGGAAAGAAACGUCGCGGGUUAAUACCCCCGCNAAACUGACGGUACCUGCAGAAUAAGCACCGGCUAACUACGUGCCAGCAGCCGCGGUAAUACGUAGGGUGCAAGCGUUAAUCGGAAUUACUGGGCGUAAAGCGUGCGCAGGCGGUUCGGAAAGAAAGAUGUGAAAUCCCAGAGCUUAACUUUGGAACUGCAUUUUUAACUACCGGGCUAGAGUGUGUCAGAGGGAGGUGGAAUUCCGCGUGUAGCAGUGAAAUGCGUAGNUAUGCGUAUGAACACCGAUGGCGAAGGCAGCCUCCUGGGAUAACACUGACGCUCAUGCACGAAAGCGUGGGGAGCAAACAGGAUUAGAUACCCUGGUAGUCCACGCCCUAAACGAUGUCAACUAGCUGUUGGGGCCUUCGGGCCUUGGUAGCGCAGCUAACGCGUGAAGUUGACCGCCUGGGGAGUACGGUCGCAAGAUUAAAACUCAAAGGAA
rnacentral:rRNA from 1 species